rnacentral:rRNA from 1 species
AUUGAACGCUGGCGGCAGGCCUAACACAUGCAAGUCGAACGAGUGGCGGACGGGUGAGUAAUGUCUGGGAAAAUGCCAGAUGGAGGGGGAUAACUACUGGAAACGGUAGCUAAUACCGCAUACCAACGGAUGUGCCCAGAUGGGAUUAGCGAGGAGGUGGGGUAACUGCUCACCUAGGCGACGAUCCCUAGCUGGUCUGAGAGGAUGACCAUCCACACUGUAACGGAGACACGGUCCAUACUCCUACGGGAGGCAGCAGUGGGGAAUAUUGCACAAUGGGCGCAAGCCUGAUGCAGCCAUGCCGCGUGUAUGAAGAAGGCCUUCGGGUUGUAAAGUACUUUCAGCGGGGAGGCGUUACCCGCAGAAGAAGCACCGGCUAACUCCGUGCCAGCAGCCGCGGUAAUAC